rnacentral:rRNA from 1 species
AUACGGAGGAUGCGAGCGUUAUCCGGAUUUAUUGGGUUUAAAGGGAGCGUAGGCGGGAGCUUAAGUCAGCGGUUAAAUGGUGCGGCUCAACCGUGCCCUGCCGUUGAAACUGGGUUUCUUGAGAGUGCAAGAGGCGGAUGGAAUUCAUGGGGUAGCGGGGAAAUGCUUAGAUAUCAUGAAGAACUCCGAUUGCGAAGGCAGUCCGCUGGGGCACGUCUAACGCUGAUGCUCGAAGGUGCGGGAAUCAAACAGGAUUAGAUACCCUGGUAGUCCGCACGGUAAACGAUGAUUACCCGCUGUCGGCGGCAGACAGUCGGCGGCCAAGCGAAAGCGAUAAGUAAUCCACCUGGGGAGUACGCCGGCAACGGUGGAACUCAAAGGAAUUGACGGG